rnacentral:misc_RNA from 1 species
AACAUCGCGCACCUGCGGGAACCUGCGGAAGGAUCAUUACAGAGUUGCAAAACUCCCUAAACCAUUGUGAACGUUACCUAAACUGUUGCUUCGGCGGGCGGCCCGGGUCCUUCCCGGCGCCCAUCGGCCCUCGCGGGCGCCCGCCGGAGGUAAACCAAACUAUUGCAUUGUAUGGCCUCUCUGAGUCUUCUGUACUGAAUAAGUCAAAACUUUUAGCAACGGAUCUCAGAUCGGAAGAGC